GAAAUAACUCGAGGCAUUUCGCGACACUAGAACGAGGGUGAGGUCUAGGACUAGAGUUUAGAUCGUUCAAGGGUGAGGUCUAGGACUAGAGUUAAGAUCGUUCAAGGGUGAGGUCUAGGACUAGAGUUUAGAUCGUUCAAGGGUGAGGUCUAGGACUAGAGUUAAGAUCGUUCAAGUACAAAUUUAUCGAAUUUAAAGUU